AGUAUAUUUUGACUUUUUUUCUAUUGUACUUUGAUUUAGGAUAUGUUGCUUGGUUGUGUAUGAUGGAUGCUUGACUAAUGUUACUUGGUUUUGUAAUAUUUCAAUGAAGCUGCAGUUCUCAUUUCACUUCCUGCUUUUCCUUAGCUGCUGUGACCAUCCUACAUCUUUGGUUCUAUUAUGUUGUGUCUUUAUCUGAGGUCUUUUACUUCAUUAUGGUUCAUGGGAUCACCACCAAAGAUGGGUAUUACCUUGGGCAUUCAUUAUAUUUCA
rnacentral:lncRNA from 1 species